GCCGGCGUAGCUCAGUUGGUUAGAGCGCAACACUCAUAAAGUUGAGGUCCCAAGUUCGAUCCUUGGCGCCGGCACCA
rnacentral:tRNA from 1 species